GACGAACGCUGGCGGCGUGCUUAACACAUGCAAGUCGAACGAGAAGAGAUGAGAAGCUUGCUUCUUAUCAAUUCGAGUGGCAAACGGGUGAGUAACGCGUAAGCAACCUGCCCUUCAGAUGGGGACAACAGCUGGAAACGGCUGCUAAUACCGAAUACGUCUUUUGUCGCAUGGCAGAGGGAAGAAAGGGAGGCUCUUCGGAGCUUUCGCUGAAGGAGGGGCUUGCGUCUGAUUAGUUAGUUGUGGGUAAUGGCUACCAAGACUACGAUCAGUAGCCGGACUGAGAGGUUCAACGGCCACAUUGGGACUGAGAUACGGCCCAGACUCCUACGGGAGGCAGCAGUCGGGAAUUUUGCGCAAUGGAGGAAACUCUGACGCAGUGAUGCCGCGUAUAGGAAGAAGGUUUUCGGAUUGUAAACUAUUGUCUGCAGGG
rnacentral:rRNA from 1 species